rnacentral:rRNA from 1 species
AUUGAACGCUGGCGGCAGGCCUAACACAUGCAAGUCGAGCGAGCGGCGGACGGGUGAGUAAUGUCUGGGAAACUGCCUGAAGGAGGGGGAUAACUACUGGAAACGGUAGCUAAUACCGCCUACCAUCAAAUGUGCCCAGAGGUGAUUAGCUAGUAGGUGGGGUAAUGGCUCACCUAGGAGACGAUCCCUACCUGGUCUGAGAGGAUGACCAUCCACACUGGAACGGAGACACGGUCCAGACUCCUACGGGAGGCAGCAGUGGGGAAUUUUGCACAAUGGGGGCAAGCCUGAUGCAGCCAUGCCGCGUGUAUGAAGAAGGCCUUCGGGUUGUAAAGUACUUUCAGCGGGGAGGCGUUACCCGCAGAAGAAGCACCGGCUAACUCCGUGCCAGCAGCCGCGGUAAUUC